rnacentral:rRNA from 1 species
CCUACGGGUGGCAGCAGUGGGGAAUAUUGCACAAUGGGGGAAACUCUGAUGCAGCGACGCCGCGUGAGUGAAGAAGUAUUUCUGUAUUUUAAGCUCUAUCAGCAGUGAAGAAAAUGACGGUACAUGAUUAAAAAUCCCCGGCUAACUACGUUCCAGCAGCCGCGGUAAUACGUAGGUGGCAAGCGUUCUCCGGAUUUACUGGUUGUAAAGGGUGCGUAGACGGCAGCACAAGUCUGUAGUGAAAUGCCGGGGAUUAACCCCGGAACUGCUGUGAAGACUGGGGAGCUAGAGAGCAGGUGCGGUAGGUGGAAUGCAUGGUGUAGCGGUGAAAUGCGUAGAGAUUAGGCGGAAAACAGGUGGCGAAGGCAGCUUAC